rnacentral:lncRNA from 1 species
CUGUGAUUGGGUGGGAGAACUUUGAGCUGCUCCGUAUUUCAGCUGGUGGAAUAUUAAUAUUAUCUAUUGGAAACAUUUUCGUAGACCGCAAAAGGCUAAUGUGCCUCAGGAGCAAGAUUCGUCCAGGAGGGGCCAAGGUCGCCGUGCGUCUGGGCUUGCCCGCUCCCAGGUCAAGAAAUCCCAGCGCAAGAACCUCACUUGGACUUCAGUGAAUGUCCUCACUGCCACGCAACAAGUGUGCAGCAGAUGUCAGAGGCCUGCAGUUAAGAAAUCCCCUGGUCUGGAGGCACAAUUUCCAGCGUGUCCUGUGGGCACACAUCUGAAGGUAGGUUUGUAACAAACACACUGUCAGCUACGGAAAAUACGCAGUCUGUGAGAAGAGGAAAUGCUGCAGAUCUGAGCAUGACGCUUUCCCUUGUGUGUUCUCUAACGAAGCGUUUCCAAACGAGGAGGCAGCGGUGGCCCGAGAGCUGUCACACUCCAUCUGGGUGAAGACCCACCUCCUUUCCCGGUUCCUCUCUCGCGCUGGUGCUGAGGUUUGCAGUGGAG